AUCUUUCCAAAUCAAACAAUUUGUUAAAAAUACAAUUUGUGCAUCAUCAUUUAGCAAUUAAAAAGACAUUCUUCUUACUUUUUAUCACAAAAUAUAUAUGUAUCUUGAAAGCUAUAACUGUGUUAGUUUCUUUUGUAAAUCGAACCCAUAAAACAAACGGUAAACAAUAUCAUCGACAUGUUAUGAUUGCGCAUUGAAUUGAGCUUGGAAACAGAAAGAAAUUCAAUUUAGUCUUGAUUGAAAAGGCCAGCCAAUUGUCAAACUAAUUGGCGCCGUUUAGUGUUUCGAUCCUCUUACGAAAGCACCCGAUGUGAUUACUUACACACACACACACACAUACAAUAUAUUGAUAACAGUUCUUUAGUAAAGUAUGAGAGGUGGAAAUUGGGAACACUUUUAUUAGUUAUCUCAAGACGCUUAUAGCAAAAUGCUAUACAAUUGAUUUGCUAAGAGCACAAUGAAGUUGCAGACAAGUGAACACAAUGAACAGUAACGACUAAUAGACACCCUCUAAUUUAUAAUCAAUAUAAGAAAUCAGAUAUAUAUAAUUUAUAAGACCGAAACAGUUCAAUUUAAACGGAAACUGGACGCGCAAGGAGAGAAAGAUAACCCCGACUGCUGAUGCUGAUCAAGUAUUUGAUAUAUUGGUAUAGUAAACUCGUCAGCUGUUUGUAA